GGUAGAUAACAGUCCCCUUUCACAUUCUAACACAGGAUAGAGAUUUCUUAACAAAGGCAAUAGAGUUGCAAAACAGCAUGACUUUGUUGCAGUUAGUAAUUAAUGAGGUGCUAAAAGUGCCUAAACAGAGGAUCCCAGACAGAGAAUGCAUGACUCAAGAGGAUAAGAAGCCCCCAUCCUUUCAAACAACAGUGUCAUUUAAAUAAACAAGCAGCAACUCUCUGGGUUUGGUGGGGUGGGAAGGGUGCAUUAGCAGCCAUCACAGCCCUUCGCUGCAGCAGCAUGCAGAGGAGCCAGCGCUCUCCUGCCCUGGGAACCCAGUUGUGCUUUCCUUUUCCGAGUGGAGGCAGAGAGCCCUAAGGCAGCAGUUCUGUGCCUUUGUUUGAUGAAGAGUCUCUUGAUGAAAAACCCUUUAGAAACCACGAGCUGCCUCAUCCUGCUGGUCAUUUUGGAUGGUCCCCACCGGUCUUUCUCCAUGCUGGUCAAACACUGAGGCAGCGACACGUCCAGCCCUUGACCCAUUCCAUGUCCCAGAUGAGGGAGGCUGUACCUGGAGCAGUCGAUUCAGAACACAGGGAGAAGCAAACCCUCACAGCUGGAGCAAAAGUGGCCAGCAGCAGCCCAUGGACCCAGGAGGGCCAGAAGGUCCAGAGGCAUGUCCUUUGGGGAGGAUGUUGCCCUGCUGCUCCCUGUGCUGAGGACAAGCCGCCCUGCUGCUGCCUGGCUGCUGGAGGUGGCGGAGACACAUCCCAGUGCUGCACCAUGGGGGUCUGCUUCCCCUUUGCUCUCCCGCCACCCUGCAGCUUCACUGAGGGCAAGGCACAUUUUGUGGGGUUAUUUGGAUGGCAAGGGAUGAGUUCCUUUUUUUAUUCAGGGCUGAGCAGAGUAUUUUAA
rnacentral:lncRNA from 1 species